UACGUAGGGUGCGAGCGUUUAAUCGGAAUUACUGGGCGUAAAGCGUGCGCAGGCGGUGAUGUAAGACCGAUGUGAAAUCCCCGGGCUUAACCUGGGAACUGCAUUGGUGACUGCAUUGCUCGAGUAUGGCAGAGGGGGGGUGGAAUUCCACGUGUAGCAGUGAAAUGCGUAGAGAUGUGGAGGAACACCGAUGGCGCAAGGCAGCCCCCUGGGC
rnacentral:rRNA from 1 species